rnacentral:rRNA from 1 species
CCUUACCCACCUUUGACAUGUACGGAAGUUACCAGAGAUGGUUUCGUGCUCGAAAGAGAACCGUAACACAGGUGCUGCAUGGCUGUCGUCAGCUCGUGUCGUGAGAUGUUGGGUUAAGUCCCGCAACGAGCGCAACCCUUGCCAUUAGUUGCUACGAAAGGGCACUCUAAUGGGACUGCCGGUGACAAACCGGAGGAAGGUGGGGAUGACGUCAAGUCCUC